rnacentral:rRNA from 1 species
CCCUUAGAUGUUCUGGGCCGCACACGCGCUACACUGAAGGAGGCAGCGUGUACUCCUGGAUCGAAAGAUUUGGGUAACCCGCGAAUCUCCUUCGUGCUAGGGAUUGAGGUUUGUAAUUAUCCUUCAUGAACGAGGAAUUCCCAGUAAGUGCAAGUCAUAAGCUUGCGCUGACUACGUCCCUGCCCUUUGUACACACCGCCCGUCGCUACUACCGAUUGAAUGAUUUAGUGAGGACUUCGGACUGGGACCGAUGCGGCUUUCGGGCUGCGUCGGUAUUCUGGAAAGAUGUCCAAACUGUAUCAUUUAGAGGAAGUAAAAGUCGUAACA